rnacentral:rRNA from 1 species
AGUGAACGCUGGCGGUAGGCCUAACACAUGCAAGUCGAACGGCAGCACAGUAAGAGCUUGCUCUUACGGGUGGCGAGUGGCGGACGGGUGAGGAAUACAUCGGAAUCUACUUUUUCGUGGGGGAUAACGUAGGGAAACUUACGCUAAUACCGCAUAUGACCUACGGGUGAAAGCAGGGGAUCUUCGGACCUUGCGCGAUUGAAUGAGCCGAUGUCGGAUUAGCUAGUUGGCGGGGUAAAGGCCCACCAAGGCGACGAUCCGUAGCUGGUCUGAGAGGAUGAUCAGCCACACUGGAACUGAGACACGGUCCAGACUCCUACGGGAGGCAGCAGUGGGGAAUAUUGGACAAUGGGCGCAAGCCUGAUCCAGCCAUACCGCGUGGGUGAAGAAGGCCUUCGGGUUGUAAAGCCCCUUUGUUGGGAAAGAAAAGCAGCAGGUUAAUACCCCGCUGUUCUGACGGUACCCAAAGAAUAAGCACCGGCUAACUUCGUG